AUCCAGACAUGAAGAGUUCAACUGUGUGUCUGCUGCUCGGUGUGUCUGUGCUGCUGCUGUCUGGUCCCACUGAUUCAGCAGUCUCUCUGAGAGUCAGUCCAGACCUUCAGCAGUUCUUCAGCAUAGAGUCUCCACUGACUCUGAGCUGUGAUGGAGACGGACAGACAGGCUGAUGGAGGGACGGUGAA